rnacentral:rRNA from 1 species
GGACUACAGGGGUUUCUAAUCCUGUUUGCUCCCCACGCUUUCGCACCUCAGCGUCAGUAUCGGGCCAGUGAGCCGCCUUCGCCACUGGUGUUCUUGCGAAUAUCUACGAAUUUCACCUCUACACACGCAGUUCCACUCACCUCUCCCGAACUCGAGAUCGCCAGUAUCGAAGGCAGUUCUGGAGUUGAGCUCCAGGAUUUCACCCCCGACUUAACAAUCCGCCUACGUGCGCUUUACGCCCAGUAAUUCCGAGCAACGCUAGCCCCCUUCGUAUUACCGCGGCUGCUGGCAC